rnacentral:lncRNA from 1 species
ACCUUAGGGGCAAGAGGCCUCCAAGCGUCCUCCAGGUUAUCCCUCGCUUCUUGAUCAUUGGAGAUCUUUGGCCUAAGAGUGGUUUGGAUUUGAGGGCUCUAAGGGUCCUCUAGGGUUAGCCCUCACUCCUCACAUGAUCAAAGAUUUUUUCGGAUCAUCUUGCCUUAGAGACGAGGGGCCUCCGAGGAUUCCCUAGAUUAUCCCUCACUUUUUGGUCACCCA